rnacentral:tRNA from 1 species
GCAAACCGCUACAGCCAUGAACCCCAGGUCGAGGGCCUGCCGGCGCUCAUCGGCCUUCUCCUGGCACACGGA